rnacentral:rRNA from 1 species
GUCUAUGGCCAUGCCACCCUGAACAAACCUGAUCCCGUCUGAUCUCGAAAGCUAAGCAGGGUCGGGCUUGGUUAGUACUUAAAUGGGAGACCACCUUGGAAUACCAGGUGCUGUAGGUG